GGAUGUCAGGGCUAUCUGGCUGCGACAUCUGUCACCCCAUUGAUCACCAGGGUUCAUUCCACUGAGCUGGCUGGCCAGGCAGGUGUCCCCUUCCUCCCUCAACAAUUUGUGUUCAUCCCACCCAAAGCUGUGCGCUUGGUCAAAGAGGAUGACCACACCCAAUAGAGAAGGGCCAUUCCUGUGUCAAGGGUAUCAGAGUAGCUGUGCUUCCCUGCUAGAACCUGAAAACAAGCCCUCAAAAGUUCCACUAGGGUAGCAAGUAGGUCUCUUUUCUCAUCUAAAUCAUAUGCUUGACCUGAGUCAACAAUUU
rnacentral:snRNA from 1 species